CCCUUAGAUGUUCGGGGCCGCACGCGCGCUACACUGAAGGAAUCAACGAGUUUAUGACCUUGCCCGGAAGGGUUGGGUAAUCUUUUCAAAACGCAUCGUGAUGGGGAUAGAUUAUUGCAAUUAUUAAUCUUCAACGAGGAAUUCCUAGUAAGCGCGAGUCAUCAGCUCGUGCUGAUUACGUCCCUGCCCUUUGUACACACCGCCCGUCGCUCCUACCGAUCGAGUGAUCCGGUGAAUAAUUCGGACUGCGGCAAUGUUCAGCUCCUGAAUGUUGCUGCGGAAAGUUUAGUGAACCUUAUCACUUAGAGGAAGGAGAAGUCGUAACA
rnacentral:rRNA from 1 species